GACCGUUAGCUCAUCCCCUUAGCUCCCACUUCACCCAAAAUAAGUAAUCUCUCACACUCUCACUCCUCUCUCUCAAAUCUCAGCCUCACUUAAACCCUCGACCUGGAGUGUGCGAAUUGAAAUCCGCCAGAGCUUUCCCCUGUUCGAGUUCCCUCGGUUGAUGCCGAUGAUCGUUUCAAUAGCUUUAUUUACUAGAGAAAAAACAACGGAAGCUCCAACCCACAUGGAUGACUCUAGAUGAAGCCAAAAAAUCAUGCUCGCAUGUCUGGAUGAUUCAAGCUCUGGAGGAAUUGGUGCUUCGUCUGCAACAAGAAAGGAAUUAAGUUCUUCCUUGUUCUCUAAUCUAGGAGAUGAUAGCAAUUGACUAGUAAAUUUUUAGACUGGUGACAAAGAGACAAAGCACAGAGCAUAGAGGCAGAGGAAACAAGAAUCCUUCAUGACAACUUGAGAACAAGAGAAGCAAAAUUGUACAUGCUCAGUGAUUUGGAAAAACCCAUGAAGAUUACUCAAGAAAAGAAAACAUCAUAUUGUACAAUUAGAAGCAAUUUUUUUUUUUAUUAAAUGAAAAUGGGUGAUUCCAUUAGAACCUUAAAUUGUCAUCAAAAGCAUAAUAUUUUUUCUCUUGUGAAGUGAGUUGUUGGUCAAUGGAAGAGGCAUAGAGUUGUAGAUGUUGCAGCGGUUCUGACUUGUCGGCGUCGAUCAGCGGAAUUGGAAGGGGGCUCCCACUCCGGCGAAAAAUGAGAAAAAAAAAACAAGGUAGAAAAUGAGAAAAAACUUACCUCCGGUAGGGAUACUUACCUCCGGUGGGUUUCAGUUCUGAGAGCAGAAGGUCGAGGGUUGAAGUGAGAUGAAAUUUGAGAGAGAGGAGUGAAAAGGAUGACCUUUUGGGAGAGAGGGAGCUAACGGCCGUCCUGUGGAAUGUGUGGGAGAACACGCACGAGUCCCUCUAAUCCGCAUGUGGGAGGACACGCAGUGCAUGCUCACAACCCAUGGAACGUUUUUGGGGGGCAAA